CUUUUGGGAGGGAGCCGUCUAAGGUGGGAUUGGCGAUUGGGACUAAGUCGUAACAAGGUAGCCGUACCGGAAGGUGCGGCUGGAUCACCUCCUUUCUAAGGAGCA
rnacentral:rRNA from 1 species